rnacentral:rRNA from 1 species
UACGGAGGGUGCGAGCGUUGUCCGGAAUCAUUGGGCGUAAAGGGCGCGUAGGUGGCCUGCUAAGCGUGCGGUGAAAGUCGGGGGGUCAACCCCCCGAUCGGCCGUGCGAACUGGGAGGCUUGAGCACUGUAGAGGCGGGUGGAAUUCCGGGUGUAGCGGUGGAAUGCGCAGAUAUCAGGAGGAACACCGGUGGCGAAGGCGGGUCUCUGGGGCAACAACUGCGCUGAGGGAGCGAAAG